rnacentral:tRNA from 1 species
GGAGGGGUGGCAGAGUGGUUGAAUGCGGCGGUCUCGAAAACCGUUUACGGCCGUAAGGUCGUACGGGGGUUCGAAUCCCUCCCCCUCCG